rnacentral:lncRNA from 1 species
UCGACGCCGCCAAGGAGCUCGGCGUGCCGUGCGCGCUCUUCUGGACGGCCAGCGCCUGCGGCUACAUGGGCUACCGCAACUUCCGCCCCCUGAUCGACCAAGGCAUCAUCCCCCUCAAAGGUAAUCAAUCCUCUGUUUUUCCUAAAAUACAGAGUAACUCCCAAUUCUUACCUGCAAAUUUGCAACAUGGUCUUGAAUCUUGAGUAUCUCAACAAUUCUUUUGUGGGGAACAGAUGAAGAGCAAAUGACGAACGGGUUCAUGGACACACCGGUGGACUGGGCGCCCGGCAUGAGCAAGCACAUGCGGCUGAAAGACUUCCCCAGCUUCCUCCGCACGACUGACCCCCAAGACACCCUCAUGACCUUCCAGCUGCACGAAGUGGAGCGCGCC